CAGUAGCCGCGGUAAUACGUAGGUGGCAAGCGUUGUCCGGAAUUAUUGGGCGUAAAGGGCUCGCAGGCGGUUUCUUAAGUCUGAUGUGAAAGCCCCCGGCUCAACCGGGGAGGGUCAUUGGAAACUGGGAAACUUGAGUGCAGAAGAGGAGAGUGGAAUUCCACGUGUAGCGGUGAAAUGCGUAGAGAUGUGAAGGAACACCAGUGGCGAAGGCGACUCUCUGGUCUGUAACUGACGCUGAGGAGCGAAAGCGUGGGGAGCGAACAGGAUUAGAUACCCCCGUAGUCCCUGUCUCUUAUAC
rnacentral:rRNA from 1 species